rnacentral:lncRNA from 1 species
AUUUCUUGGGCCACUCCUGCGGUAUAUGGAGGUUCCCAGGCUAGGGGUCCAAUUGGAGCCAUAGCCACCGGCCUACACCAGAGCCACAGCAACGCGGGAUCCGAGCCGCAUCUGCGACCUACACCACAGCUCACGGCAAUGCCAGAUCGUUAACCCACUGAGCAAGGGCAGGGAUCGAACCCGCAACCUCAUGGUUCUUAGUCGGAUUCGUUAACCACUGCGCCACGACGGGAAUUCCUAUAAUUUGUUUCUUUAUUCACCUACUGACAGACAUUUUGUUCUCAGUUUGAGGCUGUUUGUAAAUAAAGUACAUUCAUGCAGAAAUCUUUGUAAAGACCAUUUUUCAUUUCUUCUGUGCAAGUACCUAGUAGUGGAAUGGAAUGGUUAAGGCUUAAUUAACUUUAGAAGAAACUACCUGCUUUUCAAAGUAGGUAUAGCAUCUUACAUUCCCAUCUAUGGUAUAUGAGAGUCCCAAUCCCUACACAUCCUUGCUAAUACUUGGUAUGAUCAAAUGUUUCUUCUAGACAUUCGAAGAGUUGUAUGGGGCAUCUCAUUGUGCUUAAAAAACUUGGAAACAUUGACAUUUUCAGGUCGUGCUUUUAACAUCUGUUAGGUGGGUCCAGAGUAGUGGUCAGUCUAGAGCUAAUCAUUCCCCAAUACUAAGACUGAACACUUCUGAAUGCUUUAUGUAAGUGUCAUAUAUUAUGAGGUUUUCUAGGCUUGUUGGUGGGAAUCUGUGCUAUUCCCAGUCUUCCAGGAGGAAGAGUAUAACCAAUCCCAGUUAUUCCAUCUUGGCAAGAAGCUGAAGACUUCAAGUGGUUUUUUGAUCUUCUUCUUUAGUAGUUCAGGCCAAGUAAAUUCAAAUUUCACUUUGGAAAAUGAGAACUAGAGCCAUUAUUUUCUUGGAUUUGACCAAAACAAAACAGAUAAUUUCAUUUAACAUGUCACUGCAUGGACAAUGGAUGGCUCCCUCUGGGUUUUGUUUGGCUAAGUUUCCGUAAAUAACUGUCUGACUACAGCACAGGGUGAUGGCUCUCUAGCUAAUGAUGAUGAGUCAUGUAUAACCAGUUUAUUCUGGCCCAUAACUUCCUAUGGUAUGUUCUUAUUUAUACAGUGACUCCAAUAUAUUUGUAAAAUUUACAGUUCGAACUUGGAUUGAAUAAGUGUAAUAAAAAGUAAAUCCUGAGUAGGGGUAGAAGCAAGGCACAGUGAAGGCCAUAUUCUUUUGGAGUCAUUCAGGCUUGAAUUUGCAUUCUGUUUCAUCACUUACUAGUGUCUCCAGUUGAGCAACUUAACCUUUCUGAGCUUCUAAGAAAGCAAACUGCAUUCAAACAAGGGAAACAGGUUCACAAUUAGCUAGUAAAGUAUGAUGAUAUACUGUAAUGCACUGUUUCCAUGUAAUGUAUGUAAUGCAUUUCCACAUAGUGUAUAUAACAAUAUUGUAAGUUACUAAGAUAUAAAAUAAUUAUAAUGUAUUUUAAGAAGAAUUAUAAUAUAUUUUAAGAAUUAUGAUGAUGAUGAUGACAAUACAAUUUUUAGAUAAAACGAUAAUAAGAAAUUGCCAUUACUAUAAACUCUCUGUACUUGAGUAAUUUGAGAGCACAUUUCCUCAAGCCUUUUUGCUCCUAACAUGACUGUCAGAUUUCCUUUCCUAACUUUCCCAUCUGUAGAGUGGGAACAAUAGUGGUACAGAAUAUAGGUCAAAUAAGACAAUUCUUAUGAAGCACUUAGCAUGAUACUCAAAUCUUUGCUCUAAUUAUUUUCUAUACACUGAGACAUUCACACAAUAGUGCUUUGGAUCAAGGCAAGUUAAGAACUUAAAAAUUCUUUUACUGGGAUCACCACAAGUUGUAGACCAAUUUAAUUGCUUCAAAUAAAAUAAGAACCACAGAUAGUAUAGUAUAGAGUAUAUACCUUAAAGGAUGUACACCAUGUUGCUGGGGUAAUUAAUUAAAACUCUUAAUUAAAACUGCCUGUUUCAAAUGAAAAUGUAUUUGGGAGCCAUUAUAAAAAUAGUGGGUUUAAUUUUGCUUAUUAUACUUACUAAGUAAAGUCUGAAAAAAAUAUUAAAAGAACCAAAAGUUGUUAAGAAUCUUUAUAUUUUAAAUUCUUCGGGUACAGCUGAAGUCAUAAUUCCUUAAUCAGAAUCUAAAUUUCUUAACAAUAAGGACUGUUUAUUGUUCAUCAUUAUCUAUUACUUCUAAGUAACACAUAAAUGUAUGGUGAAUUGACCAGAUAGUGGAUACCUUUUUUUCCCCUCCAUCUUAAAAAAUCACAUGUAAGUAGAAAAUUAUUGAUUACCUAAAUAGGGAGUUCCCACCAUGGAGCAGCAGAAACGAAUCCAACCAGGAACCAUGAGGUUGUGGGUUCCACCCCUGACCUCUCUCAGCGGGUUAAGGAUCUGGCAUUGCCGUAAGCUGUGGGGUAGGUUGCAGAGUGGCUUGAAUCUGGCGUUGCUGUGGCUGUGGUCUAAGCCGGCAGCUACAGCUCUGAUUAGACCCCUAGCCUGGGAA